rnacentral:rRNA from 1 species
GGUAAUGCCGGAUGCUCCAUCACACCGCAUGGUGUGUUGGGAAAGCCUUUGCGGCAUGGGAUGGGGUCGCGUCCUAUCAGCUUGAUGGCGGGGUAACGGCCCACCAUGGCUUCGACGGGUAGCCGGCCUGAGAGGGCGACCGGCCACAUUGGGACUGAGAUACGGCCCAGACUCCUACGGGAGGCAGCAGUGGGGAAUAUUGCACAAUGGGCGCAAGCCUGAUGCAGCGACGCCGCGUGAGGGAUGGAGGCCUUCGGGUUGUAAACCUCUUUUGUUAGGGAGCAAGGCAUUUUGUGUUGAGUGUACCUUUCGAAUAAGCACCGGCUAACUACGUGCCAGCAGCCGCGGUAAUACGUAGGGUGCAAGCGUUAUCCGGAAUUAUUGGGCGUAAAGGGCUCGUAGGCGGUUCGUCGCGUCCGGUGUGAAAGUCCAUCGCUUAACGGUGGAUCCGCGCCGGGUACGGGCGGGCUUGAGUGCGGUAGGGGAGACUGGAAUUCCCGGUGUAACGGUGGAAUGUGUAGAUAU